AACAAUUUCUGAAUGUAUCAAAUCCUCCAAAAGCUCCACACCCUGUCAUUAGUGUCUUUAAAGAGAUAAGACCCAGAUGCUGCACAUUCCGGGAAUUAUAAAAGAUAGUCACAGACUACGGCAUACACAGUCAUACUGAAAUGCUCUUCUUCUUCCAUGUCAGUAAUAUUUUUAGUCAGGACAAUUAGCGGCUACCUACGUCUCCAUCGUCAGGACCCAAAAUGGUGGCGGCGUGAGUAGAAACCAAAACCUGAAGUUUUUAUAGACAUGAGUAAGCUCCGGAGCUUUUGGCAUAACUAUAAAGUGCUGAUUGUUAUGGGCUCUGGCCUUGGGAUGGUUCACUGGGGUUGGUACUCGAUCAAAUCCAAUCCACUACUGAAGAAGAGCAGGGAGGAAUAUAUUCCCGAACCGGGCAUCGUGUCGUACGUCGCUCCGUCCCCACCGCCUCUGCCGCCUCUGCCCGAGAAGAGCAAGAAGAGAGCGACCAAAGACAAGGAGUAACUGCUGCUGCUGCUGCUCAACAAGGUCCUCCUCUUCUGAAGACGUUAGUGUACAGCGAGGACAGAGAAGAUGAGGAACCAGAGCUGGCUGAAGAAGAACUGGUUUUGGGUUGCCGGUGGUGCAUUUGCUGCUAUUCAUUUUGGCACGUGGGUCCUGCAGAAAGCGAUGAAGAGUUCGGUGCAGACUGAACAGCAGCUCAAACGCAGGGAUGAGUAAAAGCAAAUAAUUUAUGCAUUUGAGGGAUUAUGGGGGUUGUGUGUGGUUUAUUACAGUUAAUCUAAGUGCUUUGUUGUCUGUCUAGUGACAAAUUAAAAAUACACACUUUGCUUCCGAUGCACACAUAUGAGACAAUGUCAUCUAUGGAUAUCAUUUGAAAGUAAUAUAUAUUUUUUUUAAUUCUGAAAGUGGAUGUGUUGCUAAGAAAUUCUGAGUGGAUGAAGCAUUUAAUGAGGCCAAAACAUACAGAAACACUUGAGUUCGCUGGACUUUGAACAGCAGCAUUGCAUGUUUUGUUUCAUGUUUCUUAAGCACCUGUGACACUCGACCAGUUAUGGUCCUUUGAUGAAGUCUUUUGAC